AGAAAGUGAAGAAUGGAGCUGAAGAUGAAGGUCUUAGACUCAAGAAAAGGAACGAAAAAUGAAGAAAUGAAGAGUCGACGCACCGCCCAGUGGCAAAUUAAACCGUUGGGCGGUCCAGUGCAAGGAGUUGGCACCAGGCGUGGACGCUGGGCGGAUUUGCGAUUAGAGGCAAACCGUCGGGCGGUAGACCCCUGCCGCCGGAUGGUAGACCCCUGUCGUCGGGCGGUAGCGCGGCUUGAGGGAAACCGCCGGGCGGAAUAAGUGUGGCGCUGGGCGGUUGUCUGCUGGGCUUGGGCCUGUUUUCUGUGACGUUCCUUAGCUAUAAAUAGCCCUGUUGAAAUUUCAAAUGCAUUUUUUUUUAUAGAAGGGGGCGACCAGACCUAAUUUCACUCUCUAGAGAGGAUCUCUUGGAUGUUGAGGCUCCAUUUCUUCUUAUCUAGGGUUUGCUUUUCCAUUCUUCAUCCAUUUUUCAUCUAGAUUCACCAUGACUAUGGUAAACUAAACCCUAUUGUUGUUGGGGAAAACAAUGUAAUCUUUUGAUACUCUCUUCUAUUGAAACUCUUGAUUAAUUUAUAUGAUUUUCAUAUGCGUUGAUUAUUAAUUGUUGGGUUCUCAUCUGUGCUUAAUGCUUUUAUCGUUUAACUCAUUCGAUAACUGUUGUAUGUCUUUAUUGAUACGAGGACGUACAGUACUGUCAGGAACUUGUGAGUAAUUCCUUGAUUAAGCAAUACCACCUAGGGAUAGGGGUAGGACGAUCAAUUGUUUGUCACUUCUGUUCUAUAAUGCAUUAUUAAUUGCUAGGGGAGGCUAGGGAUAGCAAGCCAGUAAUUAGUAAUAGGCUCUUUUCGCCGAGGGAUCGGGUUAAGGGUAGGCCAAGAAAGUUGCAUGACAAUUAGAUAAUCAAGCUAAUUAAUCAAGAGGAGUAAAUAAGAGAGAGCGGAUUAGAUGAAAUUGUAAACCCCCAACACAACUCCAUUCGUCCAUUGUUUUCUUCUCGUCAAUUGAAUCAAUCUCAUUUGCAUGUUUAUAUUUUGUUCUCAUACCCAAUUAAUUAAUUUUUAUUUUCAAGUCUUACGAUCUUAAUUCACACGAACGAUAAGGCCUUUCGAGUCUCUUGGGAAACGAUACUUGGACUGACCAUUUUAUUAUUACUUGAACGAUUUGGUACGCUUGCCAAUCCGUUAACAAUACCAACUUCACGUGAGUAUUAUGCUCCUCGGUGAGCUGAAGAGAUUCCCCACUGAAGGAAGAACAAAUGUUAGGACUGAGAAAAUGGUAGCUAGAAGGGAAUAAUAAUAAGUAUUAUCAGUAGAAAACAUGGUUGAUAAAUUGAUGUACAUAUCUUCUUUCCCUAUGGUUGAUUGAUAUAUAGGUGAUAUGUUAGUGUAUAUAUAGAGAAAGAAAGUGUGUUAUGCAUUCAUUACUUUAUAG
rnacentral:lncRNA from 1 species